UACAGAGGUGGCAAGCGUUGUUCGGAAUUACUGGGCGUAAAGGGCGCGUAGGCGGUUCGAUAAGUCCCGUGUGAAAUCCCUCGGCUCAACUGAGGAACUGCACGGGAAACUGACGGGCUUGGGUUCGGGAGAGGGAAGCGGAAUUCCGGGUGUAGCGGUGAAAUGCGUAGAGAUCCGGAAGAACACCGGUGGCGAAGGCGGCCUGCUGGGCAGUUUAGCUGACACUGAGGCGCGACAGCGUGGGGAGCAACAGG
rnacentral:rRNA from 1 species